GCACUAAUCAAGUGUCACCGGACAAGUGGAAGGGUGUGCAAACCUGCAGAAAUCAUACAUUACUAUUUAAAGUUUUCAUUGUGUUUCCAGAUGUGGAUUGUACAUUACUACUAACUAAAUCCAGUUCCCCAAUUUAAAAGAAGUUUAUUAUUUUAAUCUGUAGAAUGUUGCCUCAUAACAAGGAUCCCUGAACUUUUUUUUGUAUUGUAUUUUUUUUUUUUUGAUAUUGUAUUAAUAUCUUGCAUGUAUAAUUAGCAAUUACUACAGCUGCACGACUGCACAUAAAUCAGCCCAGUUUGCAGUGUGCGUAUAAAUUAUACAUGUGUGGAUUCAAUAUGUGACCGAUAUUAAAGGGGUGAGGUGGCAUCAUGCACUGCCAUGGGCCUAUCUUUUUGCCAACCAGGAAGUAACAGCCACACAAUCAAUAAAAAGGCAUUAACCCCAUACAAAAAACAAAGGUCAUUGUCCCUAAAUAACUUAUUUACAUAAUAUCAGCCACAUAUACAAAUGAACGCUUUUUAUUCGAUUGGCAGCGUCUCUUUAACAAACCCAAACUCACAGAGACCACAGAAAGGAUUUUCAAAGAGAAUGACUAAUCUAGAAUAUAGAACUCACUGUUCACUUCCAUAAUUAUCCCUGAGGGUUAAUUACUGACUGUUAAGCUUAAAGCGAGAAGGCAUUUUCGUUAGCAGCAAAGGGCAAAUAAUUAGGUGCCUGCUUAUUUAUAAAAACACAUUUUAUAUUCUUAAAGGGGACUUAUAACUUAAUCAGUUGCAGAAGAGCAGCUUUAGGCUCAUGAUAGUAGCAGGGCAUAAACUACUUCAAUUCAGUCAUGAACUGAACUCCAAAAAACAAAUAAUAAUGUAAAAUUGUGAGCACUAUUGGGAAGCAUAACUAAAUGAAUUGUCCCUCGCUGCUUCCCUGGUCACAUUGUCUCACUGAACCCGAGAACUGAACAGGAAGUAUCAGUAGUCACUUCCUGCUCCAGCUUUUGCCAGUCUUUCCAGCCCUGUCCUAGACUGAACAGCAAGAGGUGCUCCAGUUAAACAUUUAUUAUAUUAACAGUAAAAACACUGCUCAUAUCUACUGGCAAGCGAAAGCCAUGUAUUCCUGUAAAGCAGAGCACAGCCAUGAACUUUCCUUCCCCCAGGGGGCGCUGUUUACUAAUGUGUAUCGAUCCGUGGAACCGGCUGGCUGAAAGCAACCUAUGAAGGCAAAACGGGAUUAAUUCCAGAAAACUAUGUCAUCUACUUGUAACAAUGACCGCAGGCAUCCAUAUUUUCAUGGUAUCCAUGGUGACUUAUGAAAAACUACGUUUUUAUCUGACACAGAUAUAGUGACCGGGCCAACGGCGCAGCGCAGGCAGUGGCCUAUGGCUUCCAUUGGGACAAUUUGUGCGAGUGAAAGACUGAUACAUUGCUCUGUGCCUCUGUGCCAAUGGAAAAGAAUUGCAAGUAGGGUGUGAAAAGCAUUGCCAGUGGUUACUUAUAUAUAUGGGAGCUGCGGGCAAAUGGGGUUACCUGCAGUAAAGGCCAUGGCAUGUAUAAAGUGGUACAGAUUGUAAGAUUUAUAUAUACAGUGGAGGAAAUAAUUAUUUGACCCCUC